AGGUUGGAGACUACAUAAGACUUUGACAGUUGGCGGGAAACCAUCAUCAACUGGAGAGAUGCCGGAAGAGGAAUGUCUGCGACUAAGUCAAGGGCCACUGGAUAAGGGUUGUUGAUGGCAAAACAGGUUGGAGACUACAUAAGACUUUGACAGUUGGCGGGAAACCAUCAUCAACUGGAGAGAUGCCGGUAAAAAGAUGGCCAUAAAACAGUGACCGCUGA